UAUCACAUUUUCCUUCUUCUGUCACCAAUGUAACUGAACUGUAAACUAUAACAAUACGUGUAUUAGUUUCUUUAAGGAAUGACUCACAAUUUACAGGAACGAAAACUUGUCGCGUCUCGUCCUAUCCAGAAAGUUGUUUGGUGGUGCAACGCAGAGAGCACGCCCACCUAUCGACAGGCUGGCUAGUCAUUGCACCACCUUUUGAAAAUAGGUCUACCACUGCUUUAUUUCGAAGCACAACACGUCAUACUGCACACUCACUGUUUCAGUAUUAAUGGACACAAAGUGAGAACAAAGAUUAGCAAGAAAAUGACGUCAUUCAUCCUAUCACUUGCCCCAGUGUUGUGUUUCGGUGUCUGGCAAUGACCAGCAGUGACGCACCACGCUGUAUAAAGAUAACCUCAGCCUCGCUCAGAGUCAGUGGCACUCAGGCAGCAGAAGAGAAAGAGACAUGGGGCGUCUUCUCCUCUGCUGGGUGUCGCGGGCAGCCAUGGUGGCGGAACAGGACACGGGCGGACUUACUUUGUCCUGCCCCCGAUGACUGAGAUUCGUCCACUCACCGGGGGCAGGACCAUUUUUCUUGCCCCGGACUGACUCUUCUCACCGACGCAUGGCGAGGAAUCCUGGCCACACCCCCGCUGCGAGGCGGUCUGCAGUGUCUCUACAGAGCUGUGUAGCCACCAACACCAGGCAACCACCCAAACACACCACCACCGUCACCACAGCCCCGUCAACACGCAGCCCAUCACCACUACGACAACCACCACCUCUGUAUAUGGCCACGCCAUGGAACAAUACGGUGGUGACAGCGACUGCGUAGUGACGGAGGAUACAAGGAAAACUCUCUCUCUCUCUCUCUCUCUCUCUCUCUCUCUCUCUCUCUCUCAGCAGGGAUGGAGGCGCAGGAAUUCCUGACGGAAAAAGGAAACUCUGACCAAAGACUUUACCAUUAAGCAAUCCAUCCUAACCACUACGUACGUACACCACGCCCAUCAUUAACAAUCAUAAACUCUCUAUUAUCUUUGAAAUGUCUUAAAUUUCAUUACGUUUCUGUAUCUCAAUUCUGUGACGAAAAUCACUGAAUGUUUCAUAUUGUGUGGUUUUACACACGUACAUCCAACAUGACUUGUUCUUGUUAGGAAACCAUUAUUGAUAUGUAGCAAUAACUCUGCACAUUUUGUAACCCUGCAGUCAGUGUGUUGAAUGGUGACCAUGUAUUGGUUUUGCACUGAACACAAAUAAAGCCAUUUGUUACUA
rnacentral:lncRNA from 1 species